GUUACUUGAACACAAGUACUGCAGUACCACAAUGGUCGAUUGGAUAAGGAAGAUGGCUACUAAGUAACUAACCAGCAGAUAGCACAUAGAGCAUGGAUACCUUGGACUAAGGGGUCUUCAGGUGACUUUGUAUGAAGGCACAUGGAAAUUCAGCAUCCUGGUAGUUGGAAACAACUGAAACAUCCAAACUGGAGCUUGGCCGCACACUGCCCUGUGUCUGGGCACUAUUGCUAGACUACGUUGACCCGAUCAACUGUCACAGUGGGGGAGUUAUUUCAUGAAAUACAUCGUUUGGAUCUGGAGUGGUUCUCAAAGUGAGGGCUUUUGGAGCUCAUCUUACUAGAGUUCCUGCUUCCUGAUGGUGUGAAGCCCCUCCUAAUUCCCAAAGCCCCGAGUUGCUCCUCACACUUGGGCCCUGAGACCACUAUCUGCUUGUCUCCUGAGUGGAGAUGGAAACAGCUCCAUGGUGAUCACUGAUGGACUAGAGGGAAUACAUGACAGCUACUAGGAUGUCCAUACACAGUAGCACUUCAUAAAUACAGUCGGGAAGAGGAAUGCGCGCAAGCAGGUGUGUCACCAGGCUGAGCAGGUGUUCUAGGUGCCACCAAGAAGCAAGAGGCCCAGGGAUCCAGAAGCUCAAAGGAAAGGGAGUUUUCACACAGCUGAAGUGGGCCGGGUGUCCUCGAUGAUUUCACGGGAGAGGCAUCGCUGGAGGUGACUUUUAAAAUUUCAUGAGAGGCCCUCCCUUCUCUCCAUC